rnacentral:rRNA from 1 species
CUUUCUUUGCUGGCGACCGGCGCACGGGUGAGUAACACGUAUCCAACCUGCCGAUGACUCGGGGAUAGCCUUUCGAAAGAAAGAUUAAUACCCGAUGGCAUAGUUCUUCCGCAUGGUGGAACUAUUAAAGAAUUUCGGUCAUCGAUGGGGAUGCGUUCCAUUAGGUUGUUGGCGGGGUAACGGCCCACCAAGCCUUCGAUGGAUAGGGGUUCUGAGAGGAAGGUCCCCCACAUUGGAACUGAGACACGGUCCAAACUCCUACGGGAGGCAGCAUG